AUUUAAUGAAUAUAGUAAAUUAACAGACAUAUUGGUACAAUACUGUGCAGAUUGCAGGGCGUCUGCACAAGGAUGACAUGCAAUUUUGUGAGGCGUUUCAUUAGUAU